CAACACCUAAACCUUGUCAGGACCGGAAGGUAGCAGCAACACGGGAUGCUUGUAGUAGGCGUUGACUCCGGGUC
rnacentral:SRP_RNA from 1 species